UACGUAGGAGGCGAGCGUUGUCCGGAAUCACUGGGCGUAAAGCGCGUGUAGGCGGGAAGGCAAGUCUGCUGUGAAAGCGCCUGGCUUAACCGGGCGAGGUCGGCGGAAACUGCUUACCUGGAGGACGGUAGAGGGGGGUGGAAUUCCCGGUGUAGUGGUGAAAUGCGUAGAGAUCGGGAGGAACACCUGUGGCGAAGGCGGCCCCCUGGUUGGAUACUGACGCUGAUACGCGAAAGCGUGGGGAGCAAACAGG
rnacentral:rRNA from 1 species